rnacentral:rRNA from 1 species
GGCUCAGAACGAACGCUGGCGGCGUGGCUAAGACAUGCAAGUCGAACGGACUCGUUAAUUUAUUAGCGGGUCAGUGGCGAAAGGGUGAGUAAUGAAUAGGUAACGUACCCCGAGCUCUGGGAUAGCCAUCCGAAAGGAUGGGUAAUACCGGAUAACUUCACGAGUCGAUGGGCUCGUGAGCAAAGAUUCAUCGGCGCGGGCGCGGCCUAUUUCCUAUCAGCUAGUUGGUGAGGUAACGGCCCACCAAGGCGAAGACGGGUAGCGGGACUGAGAGGUUGGCCCGCCACAUCGGAACUGAGACACUGUCCGGACCCCCACGGGGGGCUGCAGUAACGAAUCUUGGGCAAUGGGCGAAAGCCUGACCCAGCGACGCCGCGUGCGGGAGGAAGUCCUUCGGGAUGUAAACCGCUGUCAGGGGUAAGAAAGUCCACUUCGGUGGAUUGAUCGAACCCAGAGGAAGUCACGGCUAACUCUGUGCCAGCAGCCGCGGUAAGACAGAGGUGGCUAGCGUUGUUCGGUAUCACUGGGCUUAAAGCGUGUGUAGGCGGGAGCGUAAGCAUUUUGUGAAAUCCCCCGGCUCAACCGGGGCAUUGCUUGAUGUACUGCGUUCCUUGAGGCGAGUAGGGGUGCGAGGAACUCUUGGUGGAGCGGUGGAAUGCGUAGAUAUCAAGAGGAACGCCGAUGGUGAAGACAUCGCACUAGGCUUGUCCUGACGCUGAGACACGAAAGCGUGGGGAGCGAACGGGAUUAGAUACCCCGGUAGUCCACGCCGUAAACGAUGCUUACUAGAUUGUGGCGGUUCUGACGCCGGCACAGUCGAAGCCAAAGUGUUAAGUAAGCCGCCUGGGGAGUACGGUCGCAAGGCUAAAACUC